AUACGGAGGGUGCAAGCGUUAUUCGGAAUCACUGGGCGUAAAGGGUGCGUAGGCGGUUUGAUAAGUCUGAUGGGAAAUCCUAUGGCUCAACCAUAGAACUGCAUUGGAAACUGUCAGACUAGAAUACUGAAGGGGCAGAUGGAAUUAGUGGUGUAGGGGUAAAAUCCGUAGAUAUCACUAGGAAUACCGAAAGCGAAAGCGAUCUGCUGGGAAGUUAUUGACGCUGAGGCACGAAAGCGUGGGGAGCAAACGGGAUUAGAAACCCCAGUAGUCC
rnacentral:rRNA from 1 species